CCCUUAGACGUUCUGGGCCGCACGCGCGCUACACUGACCAGUGCAACAAGCAUCCGUCCUUGGCCGACAGGCCCGGGCAAUCUUUGAACGCUGGUCGUGAUGGGGAUAGACUUUUGCAAUUUUUGGUCUUCAACGAGGAAUUCCUAGUAAACGCAAGUCAUCAACUUGCAUUGAUUACGUCCCUGCCCUUUGUACACACCGCCCGUCGCACCUACCGAUUGAACGGUCCGGUGAAGCCUCCGGAUUGGCGCGCACCUCGGUGCCGCCGAGAAGUUGGCUAAACCUUACCAUUUAGAGGAAGGUGAAGUCGUANCA
rnacentral:rRNA from 1 species